GUAAAAGCACAAGACUAUCCCCACAUUCUUGUCACUGCUGGCUUAAAUGAUCCUCGCGUGAUGUACUCGGAGCCUGCUAAGUUCGUGGCGAAGCUGAGGGAGCUGAAGACAGACGACAACCUCCUGCUGUUCAAGUGCGAGCUCGGCGCCGGGCACUUCUCCAAGUCGGGGAGGUUUGAGAAGUUGCCAGAAGACGCCUUCACCUACGCAUUCAUCCUCAAGGCGCUGGGCAUGAUUCCUCCUACAACGGCU